rnacentral:rRNA from 1 species
GACAGAGGUGCCGAGCGUUAGGCGGAAUCACUGGGCUUAAAGCGUGUGUAGGCGGACUUCUAAGUACCUUGUGAAAUCCCACGGCUUACCCGUGGAACUGCUGGGUAUACUGGUCGUCUUGAGCCACCUAGGGGCCAGCGGAACAAAUGGUGGAGCGGUGAAAUGCGUAGAUAUCAUUUGGAACGCCAACGGUGAAAACAGCUGGCUGGGGGUGUGCUGACGCUGAGACACGAAAGCCAGGGGAGCGAACGGG